ensembl:lincRNA Gm13291 predicted gene 13291
AUCAUCAAGCCACCUCAAGAAGAAGGGAGGACCGUUCUCUUCUUCUUGUGACUGUGCCUUCCAAAGGUCAAUCUCAGAUAUCCUGAAAUAGAUGUGCGUUCCUAUGGACUGGGACCCUUCUGGAUGGACCCUCUCAAUGUUACCCACAGCAUAGCAGAAUGACUACAGAGUUCUGCUCACUGAUGAGUGGUGGCUGUUGUUCUUGCUGCAUCUGAGGUGGUAUGGACCUAGUGUGCCUUUCCUCCUGUGGUUACUGACCAGCUGGCUGCAGUGAUCAUCACUCUCCUGGCUGCAGUGAGCUGCAAUGGUCAUCACUCUCCUGCUGCAAUGAUCAUCACUCUUCUGGCUGCAGUGAACUGCAGUGGUCAUCACUCUCCUGGCUGCAGUGGUCAUCACUCUCCUGGCUGCAGUGAGCUGCAGUGAGCUGCAGUGGUCAUCACCCUCCUGGCUGCAGUGAGCUGCAGUGGUCAUCACUCUCCUGGCUGCAGUGAGCUGCAGUGGUCAUCACCCUCCUGGCUGCAGUGAGCUGCAGUGGUCAUCANNNNNNUGGCUGCAGUGAGCUGCAGUGGUCAUC